rnacentral:tRNA from 1 species
GGGGUUGUGGCUCAGUGGUAGAGUGCUUGUCUAGCAUAUAUGAGACACUGGGCUAGAUCCUCAGCCCCA